AAUAAAAUGGCUGAGUUGUAAGCGAUAAAUUGUAAAUUUAUUAACAAGAAAAAUUUCUUUUUUAUUA
rnacentral:tRNA from 1 species